rnacentral:lncRNA from 1 species
AAUAAAAGUUACAUGCAUUCACACGAUUAUUUAACAAAUUAUUAUUGAGAGCCUAGAUUCCAAUAAUAGGAAUUCUACAUCUUUACUUCUGGACGACUGAAAAAACAAAACCUUAAGUUUUAUAGCAUCUUGUACUUUACAUAGCGUUUUCAAAUAUAUUCACUCGACGCUGAGGACAUCUCUGUUGGUAGGUGCUGUUAUUUCAUUUUUUUCAAGGGAAGAAAAUAAAAUUUGAAACAGUUUCCACUCAGAAUGCCACCCACUAACGAACGGUGGGGUCUGAAACCUGGGCUUCCGACUUGCUGAGCAGCGCUCUCCACCGUAAUACGGCUGCCUGCGGAACCGGCUGACCGGAAGUGUGGCUGUGGGUGGUUUACCGCCAGACUGUGAUGGUGGCGGGGCACGGCUGCGUGACUGCUCAACUCAGCUGUACUUCUCACCACGUGGCAAAGGAUGGACCAAAGGCUGGGAGCAACUGGGAGUGUCUGGGACUGUGCCCCAAGGAAGCCACACAAACUGUGUAGCCAGACAGUCUGUCUGGGAGGAGAAGGAAGGAAUUUAUCUACCAGCUCCCAUCUCUCAUGGACCAAAUUCUUCCCCACUGUACAUAACUCCAUAUCACUUUCAGAUUGCAUAAGUUGUCUGCUGUUCUUUCGGGAGAGGGCUUGAAGGUUGAUUUUAGUUCCCUGUAACUGGAGGUGACAUGUGAAAGCUCAAAGCUAUUGAAAAGUUGCAAAGGCUUCCACACACAACUGCAGUAGGGAGGGCGCAGGAAGUGGGUCAACGCUUUUGGAGGACUGGGUGAAGUUCAGGAUCCUGAGGCCCUACUUUUUGGUCGCCCAGGGUGAGAGCUGAAUGUAGGCUCCAACAGGAAGACGGCAUUGAAGCCUGGUUGCUUGUUACUACUCAGAAUGCCAUCUACAAAAGGAAAUUAUGUAAAAAGCAAUAAAGAACCCCUUUUGUUCUUGCAGGAGUCAGUGUUUCAUAACUCUUUCUGUGAUAUCGUCUGUAUAAGUUGAACCUCUAAAGAACCUUAUCUAAGUUGCCACGACCUUACUCAUUACCCUCAAGAAAGAUGAACAAUUUAAAGGGGGAAAAAAGGAAGUGAAAAAAAUGGCGGAUACGAGGCAGAACUAACCUGCAGCUUCCACUCGAAGGGACAGAGCAGAGUGUGGAGACCCACAACUGGAACUUUUUCUCCAAGAACUACCACAGGAACAUACCAAGAAAGCCAAGAGAAUCCACAGAACCUUUGGAGGAAGUGGUUUGUCACUGCAGGCUCUGUGGGACAGCUGAGGAACUGCCAGCGUCCUCUUUCCUGUGUUGGUCACAUCCUCAAAUGCCUUUGGGGCUGGAUGAACAGUCGGCUUGUGGGUUUUCAUGGUGAUUUCAACUAAUAUGUGGAAGGGAAGGAGGGGAAGAGGAAAGACUCGGUGAUGGCUACAGCAGGCAAACCAUAUGCCACCGCAUGGGCCUGAGGACAAUCUCGGACGUCUUGCAAACAAUCACCCACACAAGUGUCCUGAUGAGUGGCGACCUUCUCAGCGAGGACUGACAACCACACGGGUUCCUACUUCAUGACCAGACCAGGGUCACCAUGGAGACAUUUCUCAUUGGAUCAGCUUAUUAUGCCAUAGGAAACAUCUGAUUGAAAUGGAACUCACUGACCUAAAGCUCCUAAAAAAAAAUUUUCUAGGUCAGUGACAGACAAGUUGGCUGCUUCAAAAAAGGUCCUGAAAACUCAAGACAAUGGAACAAUGCCAAGCAGUAAGAUAUGGAUACAAUGAGUAAAAUCUAAAGAUUGGUUCCUUUAAGACAAAGGGAUCAACAUGUAAUAACUUGGAAAUAUAUAGCAAAGAGAGAGCCAAAGACGUCUUCUAGCCCUGCACUUUGCCUCCUACUAGAACCAGUGGGAAGAUGCUCCAGGAAGUUAGCAGAGUCAGUUACAGUUAACUGCAGCUCAGUGUAAGGAAGAAACUCAACAGUGGAGUCAUUUUGAGAGGGAAUAGGUUAUUCUGAAAAGUAGGGAGUUUCCCUUCCCUAUGGGAGUUGAAUCCAAGGUUGGAUCUUUUUU